AUAUCAAUAAGCGGAGGAAAAGAAACUAACAAGGAUUCCCCUAGUAACUGCGAGUGAAGCGGGAAAAGCUCAAAUUUAAAAUCUGGCAGUCUUUGGCUGUCCGAGUUGUAGUCUGGAGAAGUGUUUUCCGCGCUGGACCGUGUACAAGUCUCUUGGAAUAGAGCGUCAUAGAGGGUGAGAAUCCCGUCUUUGACACGGACUACCAGUGCUUUGUGAUGCGCUCUCAAAGAGUCGAGUUGUUUGGGAAUGCAGCUCAAAAUGGGUGGUAAAUUCCAUCUAAAGCUAAAUAUUGGCGAGAGACCGAUAGCGAACAAGUACCGUGAGGGAAAGAUGAAAAGCACUUUGGAAAGAGAGUUAAACAGUACGUGAAAUUGCUGAAAGGGAAACGCUUGAAGUCAGUCACGUUGGUCAGAACUCAGCCUGGCUUUUGCUUGGUGCAUUUUCUGAUCAACGGGCCAGCAUCAAUUUUGACCAUUGGAAAAAUUCUUUGGGAAUGUGGCUCCUCCGGGAGUGUUAUAGCCCAGGGUUGUAUACAGUGGUUGGGAUUGAGGAACUCAGCACGCCUUCAUGGUCGGGGUUCGCCCACGCUCGUGCUUAGGAUGCUGGCGUAAUGGCUUUAAACGACCCGUCUUGAAACACGGACCAAGGAGUCUAACAUGCCUGCGAGUGUUUGGGUGGUAAACCCGAGCGCGUAAUGAAAGUGAAAGUUGGGAUCUCUGUCGCGGAGAGCACCGACGCCCAUACCAGACCUUCUGUGACGGCUAUGCGGUUGAGCAUGUAUGUUGGGACCCGAAAGAUGGUGAACUAUGCCUGAAUAGGGUGAAGCCAGAGGAAACUCUGGUGGAGGCUCGUAGCGAUUCUGACGUGCAAAUCGAUCGUCAAAUUUGGGUAUAGGGGCGAAAGACUAAUCGAACCAUCUAGUAGCUGGUUCCUG
rnacentral:rRNA from 1 species